ACAGCAGUAGCCGCGGUAAAACAGAGGGUGCAAGCGUUAAUCGGAUUUACUGGGCGUAAAGGGCGCGUAGGUGGUUAUUUAAGUGAGAUGUGAAAUCCCCGGGCUUAACCUGGGAACUGCAUCUUAUACUGGGUAACUGGAGUGCAAUAGAGGGUAGUGGAAUUUCCGGUGUAGCGGUGAAAUGCGUAGAUAUCGGAAGGAACACCAGUGGCGAAGGCGGCUACCUGGAUUGACACUGACACUGAGGCGCGAGAGCGUGGGGAGCAAACAGGAUUAGAUACCCCGGUAGUCCCUGUCUCUUAUAC
rnacentral:rRNA from 1 species